rnacentral:misc_RNA from 1 species
GAACGCAUAUUGCGCUCUUUGGUAUUCCGAAGAGCAUGCUUGUUUGAGUAUCAGUAAACACCUCAAAACUUUUUUUUAUUUUUGAAAAACAGUUUUGGACUUGAGCAAUCCCAACACCAAUCUUUUUUAGAUCGGUGGCGGGUUGCUUGAAAUGCAGGUGCAGCUGGACAUUCUCCUGAGCUAAAAGCAUAUCUAUUUAGUCCCGUCAAACGGAUUAUUACUUUUGCUGCAGCUAACAUAAAGGGAGUCUGACCGUAUUGGCUGACUGAUGCAGGAUUUCACAAGGGUUGGAAACGACUCUUGUAAAACUCGAUCUCAAAUCAAGUAAGACUACCCGCUGAACUUAAG